rnacentral:rRNA from 1 species
CCAAUAGCGUAUAUUAAAGUUGUUGCAGUUAAAAAGCUCGUAGUUGAAUUUCGGGGUCAGUAGGUUGGUCGUGCCACCGGUACGUACUGGUCUCACUGAUUCCUCCUUCCUGAUGAGCUGUAAUGCCAUUAAUUUGGUGUUGCAGGGAAUCUGGACUGUUACUUUGAAAAAAUUAGAGUGUUUAAAGCAGGCUAACGCUUGAAUACAUUAGCAUGGAAUAAUGAAAUAGGACGUUCGAUCCUAUUUUGUUGGUUUCUAGGAUUGACGUAAUGAUUAAUAGGGAUAGUUGGGGUCAUUAGUAUUCACUUGUCAGAGGUGAAAUUCUUGGAUUUAUUGAAGACUAACUACUGCGAAAGCAUUUGCCAAGGAUGUUUUCAUUAAUCAAGAACGAAAGUUAGGGGAUCGAAGACGAUCAGAUACCGUCGUAGUCUUAACCAUAAACUAUGCCGACUAGGGAUCGGAUGAUGUUAAUUUUUUAAUGACUCAUUCGGCGCCUUACG